UACGAAGGGGGCUAGCGUUGCUCGGAAUCACUGGGCGUAAAGCGCACGUAGGCGGAUCGUUAAGUCAGGGGUGAAAUCCUGGAGCUCAACUCCAGAACUGCCUUUGAUACUGGCGACCUUGAGUUCGGGAGAGGUGAGUGGAACUGCGAGUGUAGAGGUGAAAUUCGUAGAUAUUCGCAAGAACACCAGUGGCGAAGGCGGCUCACUGGCCCGGAACUGACUGCUGAGAUGCGAAAGCGUGGGGAGCAAACAGG
rnacentral:rRNA from 1 species